rnacentral:misc_RNA from 1 species
AAGUCGUAACAAGGUCUCCGUUGGUGAACCAGCGGAGGGAUCAUUACCGAGUUUUCAACUCCCAAACCCCUGUGAACAUACCUACAACGUUGCUUCGGCGGGACCGCCCCGGCGCCCUCGGCGUCCCGGAACCAGGCGCCCGCCGGAGGACCCCAAACUCUUGUUUAAUUUAGUGGCAUAUUCUGAGUCUCACAAGAAAAUGAAUUAAAACUUUCAACAACGGAUCUCUUGGCUCUG